ensembl:lncRNA
AGCUCGCCCCGCCCCCCAAGCCUCCCCCCACUUAACCCCCGUCCCUGUUGCGGGUGGCCCCCAUAGCACACAGUUCUUGGGUGAGGCAGCCAGGCGGACCUGUGACUUCAGGAGGUGGCACAGAGGACUCAGCUGAUCGUCCAACUCUCGACGGCUCCCCCGACCUGCUGGCCUCUCCUGGAGAUGCUGACUUCCUAUCUGCUCUAAGAGAGGGCCAAGCAAACCACCACUGCCAAAGAAUACCUUCAGGCAGAGAAACACUGGAAGCUGUUGGCAUGUAUGGCAACUGUCUACAGGUGACUUUAACAACAUCUGAGCUUUCUUUCAAGUGGAAUGCCCUUGGUGAGAAGCAUUUGGGCCAAUAUGUAAACAGUGAAUUUUGUUCCACACAUGCCAGCUCUUCUGGAGAAGAUCCGUACCUGGACAGGUUUCAGGGGCAAAAGCCUACUGUCUUGGCUUCGAACCAGGAAGCCUCCCUGCUUGGAGAGCAUCAGAGGCCUUCAGCUGCUGUCAUACCCAUGAUGAGGGUGCUCUGAAGAAGCCACAAGCCCACCCCAAACCCAGGCCUCUUGGCUCCAGGCCAGGUGGUUCCAGCUACUCCACCACCUCCACCUGGAAUCCCAGCAAGAGAUCUUAUUUCUGAGGCAUUGAAUGCCAAUAAACAAUAAAUGCCCAACUGGACACAGGGCAAUGAUACUGAGAGGCCAGAGAACUUUUAUCAAAGAUGAGAGCUUGGUCUCAACUGCAUUUUUCCGGAAUCCCAAGGUACUGGGGAGGUCACCUAACGUCCCCCACAGCCUCUCCACUAGCAGAAGGGAAGAAUGAAAGAUGCGAACGAGAACUCCCGGGGUCUCCAUGCCAUGCCUCACCUCCUCACUAAGAAAGAGAACUUGGCCUUGGGCAGGGGGCCUGGGAACCCGGGCGUUUCUCUGGGAGCAGCUCUGCGGUAAGACGCCACCACACGCCUUCUGGGACACCUAAAAUUAAAAAGACCGACCAUGCCAAGUGUUUGUGAAGAUGCGGAAGAACUUGAACUCAUACACUGCUGUUGGGAAUGUAAAACGGUACGACGGCUUUGGAAAACAAUUUGUCAUUUCUUGAAAAAUUAAACAAACAUCUACCAUAUGACUAGCCAUUCCACUCCUAGGUAUUUACCCAAGAGGAUGAAAGCAUCCAACACUCGUACAUGAAUAUUCAUAGCAGCUCUAUUUGUAAUCGCCCCAAACUGGAAAC